AGGAGUAUAGUUAAAAUAACAUCUUUUUUGCAAAAAGAAAUUAUUGAAUUAAUCAAUUUCUCUUA
rnacentral:tRNA from 2 species